rnacentral:rRNA from 1 species
CGGUAAUACGUAGGGUGCGAGCGUUGUCCGGAAUUACUGGGCGUAAAGGGCUCGUAGGUGGUUUGUCGCGUCGUCUGUGAAAUUCUGGGGCUUAACUCCGGGCGUGCAGGCGAUACGGGCAUAACUUGAGUGCUGUAGGGGUAACUGGAAUUCCUGGUGUAGCGGUGAAAUGCGCAGAUAUCAGGAGGAACACCGAUGGCGAAGGCAGGUUACUGGGCAGUUACUGACGCUGAGGAGCGAAGGCAUGGGUAGCGAACAGGAUUAGAUAUCCUGGUAGUCCAUGCCGUAAACGGUGGGCGCUAGGUGUGAGGGUCUUUCUACGACUUUCGUGCCGUAGCUAACGCAUUAAGCGCCCCGCCUGGGGAGUACGGCCGCAAGGCUAAAACUCAAAGGAAUUGACGGGGGCCCGCACAAGCGGCGGAGCAUGUGGAUUAAUUCGAUGUAACGCGAAGAACCUUACCUGGGCUUGACAUACACCAGAUCGCUGCAGAGAUGUAGUUUCCCUUUGUGGUUGGUGUACAGGUGGUGCAUGGUUGUCGUCAGCUCGUGUCGUGAGAUGUUGGGUUAAGUCCCGCAACGAGCGCAACCCUUGUCUUAUGUUGCCAGCAUUUGGUUGGGGACUCAUGAGAGACUGCCGGGGUUAACUCGGAGGAAGGUGGGGAUGACGUCAAAUCAUCAUGCCCCUUAUGUCCAGGGCUUCACACAUGCUACAAUGGUUGGUACAACGCGCUGCGACACUGUGAGGUGGAGCGAAUCGCUGAAAGCCGGCCUUAGUUCGGAUUGGGGUCUGCAACUCGACCCCAUGAAGUCGGAGUCGCUAGUAAUCGCAGAUCAGCAAUGCUGCGGUGAAUACGUUCCCGGG